rnacentral:rRNA from 1 species
AGCAGCCGCGGUAAUUCCAGCUCCAAUAGCGUAUAUUAAAGUUGUUGCAGUUAAAAAGCUCGUAGUUGAAUUUUAGGUCUGACCGGGCGGUCCGUCUCUGGCGAGUACUGUUCUGCUGUCGGGUCUAUCCUUCUGGUGAGCCGGUAUGUCCUUAAUUGGGUGUGUCGGGGAACCAGGACCAUUACCUUGAAAAAAUUAGAGUGUUUAAAGCGGGCUUUUGCUUGAAUAGAUUAGCAUGGAAUAAUAGAAUAGGACGUUGGUUCUAUUUUGUUGGUCUAGGACCACCGUAAUGAUUAAUAGGGACAGUUGGGGGCAUUAGUAUUCAAUUGUCAGAGGUGAAAUUCUUGGAUUUAUUGAAGACUAACUACUGCGAAAGCAUUUGCCAAGGAUGUUUUCAUUAAUCAAGAACGAAAGUUAGGGGAUCGAAGACGAUCAGAUACCGUCGUAGUCUUAACCAUAAACUAUGCCGACUAGGAAUCGGGCGACGUUAUCUUCAUGACUCGCUCGGCGCCUUAUGGGA